rnacentral:tRNA from 1 species
GUGGCUGAUUUAGGUGGUGAGCUGUAGAUUCACUUAAGGAGGAACCUCCCCUGGCCG